CGUAGAAGCCACCAACAAAAAUAUUAAGAAGAUACCCUUUGCUCUAUUAGGGUACCGCACCAUAGUUCGCACGUCAACCGGGGCAACCCCCUACAUAUUGGUUUAUGGUACCGAGGCUGUCAUCCCAGCCGAGAUGGAGAUUCCUUCUUUAAAAGUCAUACAGGAAGCCGAACUCAGCGAUGCGAAAUAGAUAAGAAGUCGCUAUGAAUAGUUGGCCCUUAUCGAUGGAAAGAGGAUGAACGCAGUAUGCCACAACCAACUUUAUCAUAACAGAAUGUCCAGAGCUUUCAACAAAAGGGUCAAACCGAGACACUUCUCACCAGGGCAGCUGGUAUUGAAGAAAAUCUUCCCACACCAAAAUGAAGCCAAAGGGAAAUUAUCUCCCAACUAGCAAGGUCCGUACAUGGUUCACAAGGUCCUGACAGGAGGAGCUCUCAUACUUGCAGAAAUGGAUGGAGAAAUAUGGCCAAAACCAAACAAUUCAAACGCAAUCAAGAGAUAUUAUGCUAGAUUAUCUCAUGUUUCUUUUCUGAUGCAAUUGAACUACGCUUGACCUAAUUCCCGUUUAAGAGGGGAUACGUAGGCAGCCUUAUGGGUUCGGUCAUAUCAUAAUAAAAUCUUCAUUUCCCCUCCAAAAUCAGAAACCGGGGAAGAAUUUUGAGGAAGGUCCUCAAAAUUCCGGAUCAAGUCCAGCCAGCCAUAUCACAUGCCAGGAAGUCAGUAAUCAGUCGAGAACUGGGGCAGAAUUUUGAGAAGGAUUCUCAAAAUUCCAAAAAAAUUCAGCAGGGUCCGCCAUCUGCAAAUAGUUAAAAAUCAUCUACCAAACUGGGGCAGAAUUUUGAGGAGGACCCUCGAAAUUCCAACAUAAGAGAGCUGCAAUGCCUUUGAAAUGUGUCACAGUCGCUAGUUCAUCAAAAAUUAUUUGAUAUAUCAAUACACUUCCAAAACGAUUCUAUUUUAUCAAUGAAUGCAUAUUUUUCGAAAUUUAUAUUUUUCAUAACGGUCAGGUGCUACCUAAGGAACUCGAAGGGGGCUUCCAGAGCGAAGCAGAACAAGGCCGGCAAACGGAGCAAGAACCAACCUCCCCUCAUAAAACUUACGAUUUUUCUUUGAACGCAUGCACAUUUGACGUAAUGGUAGCAUUCACGAAACAUGUAUACACAAAGCAAAUUCACCAUCCAUCCGGCCAUCAUACACUGAAUAUAUCCUAGCUAAGACAUACUCUACCCUUAUCUGCUAUUCUCUUUUUGCAUGAGUCUAAUCUCUGACUUCAUAUUUGCAUGGGUCUAAUCCUUGACUCCAUAUUUGCAUGAGUCUAAUAUCUGGCUCCACAUUUGUAUGAGUCUAAUAUUUGACUCCACAUUUGCAUAAGACUAAGCUCUAUCUCUAAUCUUGCAUGAGUCUAAUCCCGGACUCCAUAUCUGCAUAAGGCUAAGCAUUGCCUUCCGUUUGCAUGGGACUAAGCCCUGUCCUGAAUUUUGCAUGAGGUUAAUCUCUACCUUCAUAUUUGCAUAUGCUAAGCACUGCCUUCUCUUUGCAUGAGACUAAGCUCUGUCUCCAAUCUUGCAUGAGUCUAAUCCCUGACUCAAUAUUUGCAUGAGUCUAAUCCCUGACUCCAUAUCUGCAUAAGGCUAAGCAUUGCCCUCUAUUUGCAUGGGACUAAGCCCUGUCCCAAAUCUUGCAUGAGGUUAAGCUCUACUUUCAUAUUUGCAUAAGGCUAAGCAUUGCCUUUUAUUUGCAUGGGACUAAGCCAUGUCCCGAAUCUUGCAUGAGGUUAAGUUCUACCUCCAUACUUGCAUGAGUCUAACCCCUGCCUCCUAUUUGCAUGAGUCUAAUCCUUGACUCCAUACUUGCAUGAGUUUAAGCCCUGACUCCAUAUUUGUAUGAGGUUAAUCCUUGCCUCCAUAUUUGCAUGAGCCUAGCCCUUGGCUCUAGAUUUGUACGAGGCUAAUCCUCGCCUCCCCACUUGCAUAAGGCUAAUCCUUGCCUCCCCACUUGCACAGGACUAAGCACCGUCCCUCGUAGCACAGAUAUUGCUCCAUUUCUACUACUAUCUACUUGCUUUUCAAUCGGGCUAAGCUCUGCUUUCCAUUUCACAAAGUUAAGCCUUGUCUUGCUUCAUCUCAUGGGCUGAAACAUCGCCAAUCUAUCCGAAGGCACCAUAGUCUAAAGGCACCAUCCUCAUAGCCGGAAGACACCAUUCCAUGGCCUGAGGAUCUCUCGAACUUGCAUAUCAUUAUUCAAAGGCGUCAUGGUUCGGAGGCACCAUUUUCAUGGCCCGAGAACACCAUUUCAUGGCCUGCGAAUCCCUCACUAAAACAUUCAUGGCCCAGUACGUCAUGGUCCAAGGACGUCAUCUUUAACCGUCCGAAGACAACCUUCAUGGUCCAAAGGGAAUUUGCAUCAUGUUUAAAUUUUCGCAAAUACGUUUGUAGCAUCUUUUAUCUUAAGGUAACCAGCAAGCAACCACUAUCCUAGUAGGAGCGAUCUCGCUCCAGUUCCCUCUAACCGUCCCGAGCCUUAACCGCUCAUCAUAGUCGUUUCCACAUCUCAUGUCCGUUCUUACAAUAAUUUCAUCGACAUACUCCGCAAGUGAAUCCAGAACUACACAUGGCCUGAUUCCUAUAAAACCAGGGAUAUGUAGGCAACUCGAAAACCGGAAUUCGGCCUCUGUCUUUCAAAACAUCUCAUCCGGUUAAAAUUGGCCAUCAUUUCUUUAUCCGAAAACUCUUUCAUCCUUCCUAGGUAAAGAGGGGCAGCUGUUGAUACCCAAUUUUUCUCUAUAUAUUUUUAAAAUAUGCAUAAAUACCUUCAAAUAGCAUAUAUAUGCAUAUAUAAGCAUGCACAAGGUUUUAUAAUUUUUCCCAUAAUUUUAAGGGUUUAAAUUAAUUUAUUUUCUCUCCUUUUAAUCAUAAAAUCCCCAUUAAUUAUUUUCAAAAUUAUUUUUAUGAUAAUUUAUUCAUUUAAUUUCUAUACUUAUGCCAAAAUAUGGCUAAAUAUAUUUUUUAUGCAUUUGUAUAAUUACAUUUAGUAUUUUUAAACUAAAUUGAAUAUAAUUGCAAUGUUAGCCCAUUUUAAUGUAUAAUUAUAUUUUAUAUGUGUGAAAUUGGUCCCUAUAUUUUUAAAAUGAUAAUUUAUAUUUUAAAUCAUUUUGGUAUAGAAAAUUAUUUUCAGAAAACUAUUUAUUAUUUAUUAUAAAUUAAAAUAGGGAAAAUUACAAACGACCCCCUAAAAGAUCAACGACCCACAUUUGUUCUUUCCUUUUUAAUUCCAAACGACCCCCUAACACUAAUCAUUUCCAAACCCCUGCCGCCUUCAGAUGGUCUCAUCUCUUCUCUUCUUUCAACCUAACCCUAAUCCCUCUUCAACCACGGCCUCCCUCUCCGGUCAUCUCCGGCGACCACAUUUCAACCCCAAAGCCUCCAAAGGUUCCUCCAUCGCCUUGCUCAUCAUCUAUGAGGCCUUCAAAGGCCCUAGGCCAUGCCAACUUGUAUUAGGGUUGCUGUUUUGGUUGUUCAUGGCUUCUACGGUGUGAUUUUGGGCAAAAUCACACCAUAUAUGUUUCGAUCUUUGAAGUUUAUAGCAGGUUUUCCGUUUCUAUUUAGGUUCCCUUUGAAACCCUAACUUUCAUUAGUAUCUCUCAGAUCUGCGCUCUUUUUAAUGAUUUAAGUCUGUUUCUUUCUAUGUUUUACACUAUUCUCAAACGUCUUUUAAAAAAUCAUCAACUUUAAGCCGUUUUUAUUUUCUUUAAAGUUAGGGUUUCUCAGAGCUUCUUCUACACUUGUUUAAACUGAUUUUUCUUUAUGUUUAAACCUCUUUCCUUGCAUAUCUUGACUGAUUCUAUGUUCUUACUGCUUUUUCAACUCGCCUAUGUUAAAAGCCCUAAUUUUUUAGAUCUUCUUUGUUUUGGUUCUAUGUGUUAGCAUGACCACUCGAUUCCUGUUAAGUUCUGUGGUUACCAUGCUUCGAAUGGGUUUUACUGAGUCCUUAGCACCUCUGUAUGAUUGUAUUCAUCUUGAUUGUUCAUCUCUUGCCUCUUUCUAUCUAUAUUGUUGACAUUGCCUGUUUGCUACGUUGUUUGUUCUUCUCUAUUUAUAUGUUGAAGUAUAGAAUCAUGACUCCCUCUUGAUUGAUUCUAAUUUUCUUAUUUGAUGGUUUGAUUGAAGGAUUUUUUUUAAACCCUAAAAUUUUAUCUCGUCUGUUUAAAUUGAGUGAUUUCAUUACCUUAUUUGUUGUGGUAUUUUAAUUUUUACUGAGUCAUUUCCUUAGUUGGAGUUUUCUGAACUUAGUCCUAAUUGACUACCCUAUGCUUACUAAACCUUGAUUCUUUCCUUAUUAGUCAUGUACAGAUUUUUCUUGCCUUAUAUGAUACUGGUUCUUACCAUUUUGAAUGAUUCCCUUAACUUAUGGGAGUACUUGCCUUGAUUUUAUGAAUGACUGAUUUUGAGUUCCUUAAUUACCAUGAUACUAUAAUUCUUACCUUAUUUUACUACAUGUUUUCAAACUAUAAAUACUCCAGUCUUAAAUUAACACAGAUAGACGAACGCUUGGGUUCAAAACUAUCUCUCAUACUUAAAAAAAUCUCUGCUCUCUUUUGUGCUAUUUGCUACUGUUAGCCGGCUGCAAGCCAAGGCUAACCAUUUGUGCUCUCUCUUGUUCUUUUCAUUCUGCUUACUCUCCUCUUCACUGGUAUGUUCUAGUUUCAAUUCAAAGUUCCAACAACAACAUGCUUCUCUUAUUGUUUCAAUUUCUCUUGUUUCUAGUUUGCUUCUAUUUGUGGUUCUGUUGUGAAACUUGUAGUUAAAAUUUACAUUAUCAGCAUGUUAUUAUACCUUCCCCUUCCUUUAGAUCAGUAUAUUCCCUGUAUGUAUGUUUUUGAGCAUGUCUUACCAAUAAUCUCUUGUUGUAUACUUACUAUCCUAUAUCCCAUGAAUCCCCAAAUCCAUAUCACCUCUCUAUGUGGUUGUGUUCUUCAUGAUUGGUUUUGUGACUAUGCCAGUGUCAGCUAUUUCUAAGCAUGUCUAAACCAGUCCUAGACCUUUGCUGGGUUAUGUGUUUGCAGUCAAAUGUUCUAGGUAUCCCAAACCCCUUGACCCCGGUAUGUGACUACUAAAUUUACUUGGUUCUGUGAACUAACAAUGUGUAAACCUGUCCUAAGGUGUUUUGACUUCUGUUCAUCUCUUCAAACAAGUCUCUGUUGCUUUACUACAUUAUUUUCAAAGGAAAAAGACUUUGGUUAAAUACAGUUUCUUACUAAAACCUUUUCAAUCUGUGUCCAUCACUUCUCACUCUACUCUUAGUCAAUAAGUUUUGCCCCCUCUAGUAUGUGUACUGCCUUGGGAUCCUUUUGAGAACCUCUGAACUCUGGCAUACUGAGGCUGGCCUUUCCACACUGCACUUGUUCAAUUCUUGGUUGCUAAGUCUAGGUGUAAGCACUGCCUGAGAUCCUUGAGAUCCUUAGGGAACUUUGAUGCACCUAGACUCUGAUUUAUCUAUGGAAUUGAGGCUUAUGAGACCAUUGGAGGCUUUGGGAAACCUGGGCCUAAUUGAAGGCUCCCUGUAGAAUAGCUUCUUGAUUUUCUAUUUUACUUAUGAAAUUCAUUCAUUGGCCUAUAAUAAUUUGUAAACAGAUAUUUGGGUAUUUAGUAAAAAAGGGUGGGUAGAUGCAUACUUUAUGGGGUAAUACGGGUAGAAAUCCUGCUCUUAGGACCUUACUUUUAAUCUGAUUGCUUGCCUUAAUAGAAAACAUGCUCAUAAAACUUUACUCUUUAAUCUGAUUGUUUUACCUAAUAGAAAUCAUGUCCAUAGGAUUUCACUUUUAAUUUUGUUUGCUCAUCAAGUAGAAACCAUGUCUAUAAGGUUUUAUAUUCUGUCAUGUUUAGAAACCAUGCAUAUAGGUUCCAAACAAUCAUGUCUUAAAUCAGUUCAAUAAUAGAUGCCCUGCCUAUAGGACUUAAUUCCGAUUCAGUUAUAACGAGUAUUUUUGUAUGUUGCUGCACAUCGAUUAAAAUCAAUAAUCCGCCUAGAUAUCAUGCCUAUAGGGAGUCCUACUCGCAAUUCUGUCUGAUAAUCUAAUUUAGUCUAAUAAAUCAACUUAAUCACGCCUAGUUCAUUUCUAAAUUGGUUUUAUUAAGUAUUAAGUAUUUCCUGAAACAAGUUCCUUCAAACUAUCUCAUUAGAUAUCAUGCCUAUAGGUAUUAAAGGAGUCUAUUUCAAAAUCUAUUUGUUUCUGCAUUAAUAUAGACAUCAGUACUUCUGCGUAUAGGCAAGCCUUUAGGGCGUUUUCAAAAACUGCAUUUCUUUGAAACUUUCUCCGUCGCUCAAUGUUUUCUGAUCCUAACAGGCUUUUAAAAAGUGUCCCUAAGAAACUACUAGGGUAUAACUUCUGAGUCUAACAAGGGUUGUCUAUUUCUGCAUAUUCACUUAGAUAUCCUGCUUUAGGACAUUGUCUAAUAAAAGACCUUAACUGUGCUUGAGUCGUGUUGUUUAUGUGUUUGUUUGAGGAGGAAAUUCUGAGCUUCUUAAUUUCUCCCAUUAUGUGUGAAAGUCCUAAAUGUUUUUGACCGUCGCCUUAGAAUUUUCGCCUUUUAAACCUUAGGGGUACGUCUAGAACCACCUAUAGGUAGAGGUCCUAACUCCCUCUAGGACCAUUAAGAAGGAACGGGUAGCAGUACACAAUAGGAAUCAUUGACCAGACACUCGCUUUGCAUGACCAAUAAGGGGAUGGGAAAGGUAGACAUAGGAUAUGAUGACUACGCGUUAAUGUCACGUGUAGCCCCUCAAUGAGGAGUGUUUACCAAAUAUUGUGUGGGGUGAUCCUAUAGGAUAACCAACCUAGGACCCAUCUUUACCAAAUCCUUUCUUUAAACCAUUGUUUUGCAAUUUGUUCAAACCUUUAUCUUACUACUUGAAUUAUCCAACGUGCUUUACUUGCAACCUAUUUGAUUCAACUGCUUACUUGUAAUGGACAAAUUUGUGAAUAUAAGUUCGGCCGGGACCCAUAGUUGUGGACCAAGAGGGGUGCCUAACACCUUCCCCUCGAGGUUACUUUAAGCCCUUACCCUAAUCUCUAGUAAUGCAAACCAACCCAAGAGUUAAUCGCUCUAGGUGCCCUAACGCACCAUAAUCCGUUAGGUGGCGACUCUUCAAAUACCCAAUUCCCAAAAGGAAAUGAGUCAUUACACCCCGUAAAUGUCAAAACCCCGACCUCUUCGCCGUCUCAAAAAGGGGAGGGAAAAAGGGGGCACGACAGCAGCUCUACGCGAUCGCGAGCCUCAUCACGAUCGCGAAGAAGAAAAACCUGCAAAACUGAAGCUAAAACCUGCAACUUUUUAACAUGCAAUUUGAUCAAUUUAACCACCCGAAACUCACCUGAGGCCCUCGGGACCUCAACAAAACAUGCCAACAUAUCCCAUAAUAUCAUUCAAACUUGUUCCAACCUUCAGAAUGCUCAAAACAACAUUAAAACAUCAAAUUUGCAUCGAAUUCAAGCCUAAGAAUUCUAAAAACUUCAAAAUUCCGCUUUCUAUCAAAAAGUCUAUCAAACCACGUCCGAAUGACCUGAAAUUUUGCACACAUCACAAAUGACACAACUGACCUACUCCAACUUCUAGAAUUCCAUUCCGACCCCUAUAUCAAAAUCUCGCCUAUCAACCGGAAAACGCCAAAAUUCUAAUUUCGCCAAUUCAAGCCUAAAUCUACUUUGAACCUCCAAAACACAUUCCGAUCAUGCUCCUAAGUCCCAAAUCACCUCCCAAACUAUCCGAACCAUCGGAACUCAUAUUCGAGCCCUUUAACACAUAAGUCAAUAUCCGGUUGACUUUUCCAACUUAAGCUUUCUCAGAAGAGACUAAGUGCCUCAAACCUUACCAAAACUUCUCCGAACCCAAGCCACCUAACCCGGUAACACAAAAUACAGGUGAACAAGGCAAUAAGAAGCAGAAAUGGGGGAAACAGAGCGGUAACUCAUGAAACGACCUGCCGGGUCGUUACAUCCUCCCCCUCUUAAACAAACAUUCGUCCUCGAACGAGUCAAGAAUAUACCUGAAGCCUCAAACAGGUGAGGAUAUAUGUGCCUCAUCUCUCGCGCGGUCUCCCAGGUAGCCUCCUCCAUCGGUCGACCUCUCCACUGCACCUUUAUUGAAGCUAUAUCCUUUGACCUCAACUUUCGAACUUGAUGCUCCAAAAUAGUUGUGGCUCCACACCAUAAGUCAAAGCACCAUCUAACUAAACCGUCCUGAAAUCUAGAACAUGAGACAGAUCCCCAAUAUACUUCCGGAGCAUAGAAACAUGAAAUACUGGAUGCACACUCGACAAGCUGGGUGGCAAAGCAAGCUCAUAAGCCACCUUCCCAAUCCUUCGAAUCACCUCAAAAAGCUCAAUGAACCGAGGACUCAAUUACCCUUCUUCCCAAAUCUCAAAACACCCUUCAUGGGUGAAACCUUCAACAGAACCUUCUCACCAAUCAUGUAGGACACAUCCUGAACCUUCCUAUCAGCAUAACUCUUUUGUCUCGACUGCGUUGUACGAAGCCUCUCCUGAAUUACCUUCACCUUUUCUAAAGCAUCCUGCGCCANNNNNNNNNNNNNNNNNNNNNNNNNNNNNNNNNNNNNNNNNNNNNNNNNNNNNNNNNNNNNNNNNNNNNNNNNNNNNNNNNNNNNNNNNNNNNNNNNNNNNNNNNNNNNNNNNNNNNNNNNNNNNNNNNNNNNNNNNNNNNNNNNNNNNNNNNNNNNNNNNNNNNNNNNNNNNNNNNNNNNNNNNNNNNNNNNNNNNNNNNNNNNNNNNNNNNNNNNNNNNNNNNNNNNNNNNNNNNNNNNNNNNNNNNNNNNNNNNNNNNNNNNNNNNNNNNNNNNNNNNNNNNNNNNNNNNNNNNNNNNNNNNNNNNNNNNNNNNNNNNNNNNNNNNNNNNNNNNNNNNNNNNNNNNNNNNNNNNNNNNNNNNNNNNNNNNNNNNNNNNNNNNNNNNNNNNNNNNNNNNNNNUAUCUGAAUAGUGCGCCCGGACUGCCCAUCCAUCUGAGGGUGAAAAGUUGUGCUCAACUCAACCUGAGUACCCAACUCUCGCUGCACAGACCUCCAAAACUGUGAAGUAAACUGAGUGCCCCUAUCUGAAAUGAUGAAAACUGGGACACCAUGCAAACGAACAAUCUCCCGGAUAUAGAUCUCUGCCAACCACUCUAAAGAAUAGGUAGUACACACAUGAAUAAAGUGCGCGGACUUGGUUGACCAAUCCACAAUCACCCAAAUAGCAUCGAACUUCUUCAAAGUCCGUGGGAGCCUAACUACAAAGUCCAUGGUAAUUCGCUCCCACUUCCACUCUGGAAUAUCCAUCUGCUGAAGCAAGCCACCAGGUCUCUGAUGCUCAUAUUUCACCUGCUGACAAUUGAGAUACCGAGCUACAAAUCUCACAAUGUCCUUCUUCAUUCUCCUCCACCAAUAAUGCUGUCUCAGAUCCUGAUACAUCUUCGCAACACCCGGAUGAAUGGAAUACCGCGAGCUAUAGGCCUCCUCCAGAAUCAACUCCUGAGGCCCAUCUACAUUGGGCACACAUAUCUGGCCAUGUAUCCUUAUCACCCCAUCAUCACCAAUAGUCACAUCUCUGGCAUCAUCAUGUUGAACUCUGUCCUUAAGGACAAGCAAAUGAGGAUCAUCAUAAUGGCGCUCUCUGAUGCGAUCAUAUAAGGAAGACCGAGAAAUCACACAAGACAAUACCCGACUGGGCUUCGAAAUAUCUAACCUUACGAACCGAUUGGCCAAGGCCUGAACAUCAACUGCAAGUGGUCUCUCCCUAACUAGAAUAUAUGCCAAACUCCCCAUACUCACCGCCUUCCUAAUCAAGACAUCUGCCACCACAUUGGCCUUCCCCGGAUGGUACAAUAUAGUGAUAUCAGAAUCUUUUAGCAACUCCAACCAUCUCUGCUGCCUCAAAUUGAGAUCCUUCUGCUUGAACAAGUGUUGGAGGCUACAAUGAUCAGUAAACACCUCACAAGACACGCCAUACAAAUAAUGCCUCCAAAUCUUCAAUGCGUGAAUAAUGGCAGCCAACUCCAAAUCACAAAUAGGGUAGUUCUUCUCAUGAGGCUUCAACUAGUGAGAAGCAUAAGCAAUAACUCUACCCUCCUACAUCAAUACACACCUAAUACCAACUCUCAAAGCAUCACAAUACACGGUAUAUGAACCUGAAGCUGAUGGCAAAACUAACACUGGAGCUGUGGUCAAGGCAGUCUUGAGCUUCUGAAAGCUCUCCUCACACUCAUCUGAUCACCUGAAUAGAGCACCCUUUUGAGUCAACUUGGUCAAGGGCGAUGUGAUAGAUGAGAAUCCCUAAACAAACUAGUGGUAAUAACCCGCCAAACCAAGAAAGCUACGAAUCUUUGUGGCUGAGGACGGUCUGGGCCAACUCUGAACCGUCUCUAUCUUCUUCGGAUCAACCUGAAUACCUUCGUUGGACACCACGUGCCCCAAGAAAGCCACUGAACUGAGCCAAAACUCACACUUUGAGAACUUUGCAUAAAGCUUCUCCUCCCUCAAUCUCUGCAACACGACUCUCAAAUGCUCUGCGUGCUCCUCCUGACUAUGCGAGUACACCAGAAUAUCAUCAAUGAAAACUAUGACAAAUGAGUCGAGAUACGGCCGGAACACGUUGUUCAUCAAAUGCAUGAACGCUGCUGCGGCAUUGGUCAGCCUAAAAGACAUCACCAAGAACUCAUAAUAACCAUAUCGGGUCUUGAAAAUUGUCUUAUGAAUAUCCGAGUCCCUGAUCUUCAACUGGUGAUAACCUGAACGGAGAUCAAUCUUGGAGAACACCCUCUCCCCCUGAAGUUGAUCGAAUAAAUCAUCAAUGCGAGGCAAAGGAUACUUGUUCUUAACUGUUACUUUGUUCAACUGCCUAUAAUCAAUGCACAUCCUCAUAAUGUCAUCCUUCUUCUUCACAAAUAGAACCGGCGUACCCCAAGGUGAGACAAUAGGCCGAACAAACCUCUUAUUAAGGAGUUCCUAAAGCUGCCCCUUUAACUCCUUCAACUCCGUUGGUGCUAUACGAUAUGGUGGAACAGAAAUGGGCUGAGUGCCCGGCACCAGAUCAAUACCCAAAAUCAAUAUCCCUAUCUGGUGGCAUGCUCGGCAGGUCUACAGGAAACAUAUCGGGAAAAUCCCUCACAACUAGAACAUAAUCAAUACUGGAAGUCUCUGCACCGACAUCCCUCACAAAGGCUAAAUACGAAAGACAACCCUUCCCAACCAUACGUUGAGCCUUCAAGAAUGAAAUUACCCUACUGAGAAUAUAAUCAGUCGAACCUCACCACUCAAUCCGUGGUACACCCGGCAUAGCCAAUGUCAUUAUCUUAGCAUGACAGCCCAAAAUAGCACGACACAGAGAUAGCCAAUCCACGCCCAAAAUAACAUCAAAAUCUACCAUACAUAACAACAAAAGAUCCACUCGGGUUUCUAGACCCCCAAUAGUCAUCAUACAUGACUGGUACAUACGGUUUACAACAAUAGUAUCACCCACCGGAAUAGAUACAUGAAUAGAUGAAACAAGAGACUCACGAGGCAUAUCCAAAUAAUGAGCAAAGUAUGAUGACACAUAAGAAUAAGUGGAACCGGGAUCAAAUAAUAUAGAGGCAUCUCUAUGGCAAACUGAAACAACACCUAUAAUAACAACAUGGAAGCAAUAGCAUCGGGUCUAGCUGGAAGUGCAUAGAAACGAGCUUGACCGCCACCUAAUCGACCUCCCCCUCUAAGGAGACCCCUAGCUGACUGACCUCCACCUCUAGCUAGCUAGGUGGGUGGUUGUGAAGUAACCGGCUCUGAAGCUGAUGGCUGACUCCUCUGCUGAGAUGAACCCGCGAGACGACAAGGACACUGCCUCCACAUAUGAUCCAUCUCUCCACACUCAUAGCAACUCCCGGGUGCUGGAGACGGGGAGUGAAGGGAACCCCUAGCACCGGAAUGACCAGCAGAUGCACCUGGCAUAGAAGAUCUAGGAACUGAUGGAGCAUGGGAUGAAAUCUAAGUUGGAAGGGCACUGAGUGAUGAUUGGCCCUGAUGAGAACUAUGAGAACCAUGACCCGAUGACGCCCCACGAUAACCUAGGCGAGCUGGCUAAGCAUGCCUGAAUGAACGGCCUCUGCCAUGCUGAAACUGACCUCUCGAAGGAGCACCACCGUAACUACCAGAUCCUCGAGGCCUCUUGGCCUCCCUCUCAUCUCGCUCCUGGUGACGAACUGACUCAAUCUCACGAGCAAUGUCUACAACUUCCUCAAAAGUAGCACCAAACACCCUUUCCCUGGUCAUGCACGAAGCUGAUAUGUGAGGCCAUAAACAAACCUCCUAAUCCUCUAUCUAUCUGUCGGAACCAACCAAACAGUAUGACGAGCUAACUUUGAGAACCUCAUCUCAUACUACGACACGAUCAUCUCUCCUGGCACAACCACUCGAACUGCAUGUGCAACUCCUCUCUGCGAGACUGCAGCAUAUACUUCUCCAAAAAGAGAACGGAGAACUGUUGCCAGGUAAGGGGUGUUGCACCAACAGGCCUACGCCUCUCAUAAGCCUCCCACCAAGUGAAGGCAACUCCAGAAAACUGAAAAGUAGUGAAAGCGACCUCGCUGGUCUCCAAAAUACCCGUUGUGCGAAGAAUCCUCUAACAUUUGUCCAAGAAACCCUGGGCAUCCUCGCCCUUUCCACCACUAAAAGUCAGAGGCUAAAGUCUACCAAACCUCUCCAACCUACGUUGCUCGUCCUCUGGCAUGGCAGGAGCUACAUAGUCCUGAGCAGCUGCAACCGGUUGGGCUAGAUGUGCCCCCAGUGUCUGAAGUCCCUGCACGACCUUCUCAGGUAUGCGAGUAGCGGGAGUCUGAGUGCCUCCCCCGACCUGAGAAGUAGCUGCAGCUGUAGUAACUGAGACCGCCUGAGCUAGGUCAGUGCAUACUGAUAGAAUCUUAGCCAAGGCUUCUUAAAGACCCGGAAUCACAAUAGGCACAGCUGGUGCUUGAGCUGGUGUCAUUGGAGCGUCCAUAACUGGGACCUGAUCCUGCACUGGGGCGGCUGGUAGACCUGUAGGUGCUACCCUAGCUAUUGCGCAGGCCACACCCCUUCCCCUACCGCGACCACGACCGCAUCCUCGGCCACUAGUGGCCACAACUGGUGUCACACCUCCUUUUUACCCACUGAUUUAUACUUGGCUUAAAUUGUUUAACUACUCAUUUUAGGACCUAUGCACAUUUAUCUAUUAACCGCUUUUAAUUGCUUGAUUAUUCGUAUUUAAGAAAUUAACUUAAGAUGAGUUACGCGUACGUAUACUCAAUUAUUAACACUUAGUUUAUUUAAGAAAAAGGUUUGGUCAAAGUUGCGCGAACGCAUACUUAGUGUUUAUUUGAGAAAACGCGUAAUCAUAAUAACAAUUUAAAACUCACGCCUAAAGCAUUUCUACGAAUGUUCAUUUUUUAAAAAUCGUACUCGUGUCACGCGAUCGUGUAAUUUUAUUUUAAGUUUAGAAAAAUCAUAAUUAUGUUACGUGAACGUAUACAUAGUCACGAUAACAGUCUAAGUCGCGCCUAAAGCAAGCUAUGAGUGUUUCAAGAUUAUUUAAUAUUUAAGUUAAUAUUAAUGUGAGGGCCAUAGAUUAGGUGAUUCAAAUGUGAAUGGCAUACCUCAAUUUAAUUUUUAAAGACUUGUACUCAAUUAAAGCGAACUAUGGAUGAUCAUAAUUUUUCCUUUCUACUUUAAGAUUUAUUGUAAGGCCAUGGAGUUAUGGAAUUUAUUGUAGAAAAGCAUGAAAUAGAUUAAUUAUGAAAAAGUAGGCUAGCUUUGUUAUUAUGUAAAGAAGAAAUGGGCCAGCAGCAUAUUCACUACUUUGGGCCUUAGUAAGACUAAUUUGGUUGGCCCAAGUCUAAUGUUCCGAAAAUCAAUCCACGACUCACAACAAUUGAACAAACCAAACUUGCUGCAUUUUACACUUGAACCAAAUGGCCUAAUUUUUCUAUCUAGCGGAUGGCUCAUUACAUUAACAGAGGAUCACAACACAUCACUUUGUCAACCUAAUGUAUUCAUCUUCAGUAAUUGAAUUUAACAAAGGCUCAAAUCAAGAGCAUGAGAUUUAUUAAGUGGAUUAAAUAGCCUUAAAGUCACAUAUGAAACUAAAAGAAAUGAAAUAACAUAGAAUGAAUAGAAAUAGACCUUACUAAGCACUCAAUGUAAAUUCAAAAUCUUUAGCCAAAAUGAGGCCAUCAAACGAUUUAAACUGAAGCAAGCACAAUACUCAACUAAAAUAGUAAAAGAAAGAUAGGAAAUUGACCUUCUUAAGACAAUACUCUUAUUUUGAGCUCGUGUAUCUCAACGAUUCAGCUAAUCCUUGACGGAGACUCGAUCAACAACCUCGCUGGAUAAAACUCGUCGGAAGAUCUCGACUCGAAUCGUAACUAUGUGACGAACUCGACUCAAAAAUGGGGACAGCUUUGAGGUGUUUUUUAAAUGAGGUUUUUGGCUGGUUUGAGAGGGACAAGUGCUGUGUUUUUGCAGCAGCUUUAGAGCUGAAGAAUAGGUUCAAUGGAGGUGAGUUUUGCAACUAUUUGACUACAUUUUUAGCAUCUUUUGGGGCUGGUUCAGAGUCGUUUUUUGGACUAAGAAGAGAGUUGGUUUGAGGGCGGAUUUCCAGCUGUUUUUUUUUUUGGGCUUUGUUGCUGGAAGUGACCAGCUUUAAUGGGGUUGAAGGCUAGUCAAGUUUGGUGGUUGUUUGGAGCUGGUUUUAUGGGCAAGAGAGGCUGAUUUAGAAGUUGAAACUAGCAGAGUUUUUGCCAUUUUCGCAACUGCUUUUGGGGCUCUUUAUUGGGACUGAUUUUAAAGUGUUUUGGAGCUAGAUUUUGGAGUAUUUUGGGGGUGGUUUUAACUGGGUUUGGGGUGUUUUCGGAGCUAUUUUGCUGCUGCUUUUAACCCAGUUUUAGGUGACAUUUUUGGGGUUUAAUAUCCGCUAGGUUUGGGGCUCUUUUGUGGUGGUUUCAAGUUGUUGAACGGCUAUUAUAGAGGCUGAUUUGGAGGUUGUUUUAAGUGGAGAAGAGGGGCUAGUUUGAUGCUGUUUUGUGUUAGCUUCCUUAGGGAUUUUUAGGUGAGCUCUUGAUUGAAGAAGAAGAACAGGGGGUCUAUUCUUUGGUCAAAACGGCGGAUCUCAUCUCUAAG
rnacentral:lncRNA from 1 species